AUCACAAAACAAUACAUACAGCCACCAUUUACUACACCGUCACCGUAAUAAUAACGAAUAGCUACUACUACUUAUUAUUACUUUUUCAUAAUAAAUAAUACUAAUAAAGACAUUUUUAGUCUAAAGCAUUUUCAAAGUAUUCUUAAAUUGCAUAUUGAUUUACAGUUUAAAUAUUGUUUAAGAAUUAAUUGUUAAAAAUAAAUAAUUAUUUAAACAGAAAAAAAAAAUAAUCUGUACAUUUAAAUUAGUGAGUUUCUUUGGAUUGGUUUUAAUUGUACACACAUAAUAAAUAAUAACUAAUGUUCAUAUUUGAUAUAACGUGGCAUGUAUAUUAUAUUCUGAUAGUAACAGAAAUUGAAGCUACAGUAACAAUGGCUUAUAAUUUAUUUUAAAAUAUAUCCAAGACAUAAAAUAUUACACAGUUAAUUAUGUUAACGUAAAUUUCUAAAAUUAAAAUAACAUCAGAAAAUGCAUUGUUUAUUCUGUGGACGUUUGGCAUCAAAUUGCGUAUUUUUUAAUUUAAACAAGUGUAAUAUUAAAACAAAAUUUUAUGACAGGAUGUCUUAAAAAUUAUUACAUUUUGUAUUUGUGCCUUAUUUGACAUGUUAAAAGAACACAGACUGGACUAUAAAACUGCUGAUAGAAACUUUUGGCGCAAACAUUUUUAUUGUACGCACCAAAUACUAAUACAAAAAAUCUAACUUCUUUGAAAAUGCUAUAGGCUAAAAUAAAAAAGAUUUAGAAGGUUAUAUUAGUGAUGGCCAGUGGGUAUUCACUAUCACUUCAUUAUAAUUAUAAGUAUUUCAUGAAAAAAACUAGAUUCUACAUUAUCCAUAUUCAAUCAAGAUAAAAUUUGGUAAGUGUAAAAGUAAAUAAUACUUAUAAUAUUGUUUGUGUUCAUAUGUUUAUUUUUAAUACUUAUUAAUAUUUUAAAGGUAAAUCUGUUUUUGUUUGGCUCAUCACUAUUAAGUAGGAUUUCUCAAAUUAUAAAAUGUUUGUUUUGUUUUUAACUACAUUAUUUAAACUAAUACAAUUUUUAUUUUAGAUUUUGAGCAGAAGAAAGAGUCAUUAGUAAAAUGGACUACAGCAAGGUUGUCUUGAGAAUCAAGCCUAAGCCAUAUGUAUACAACUGCUCAAAACCUUCUGUUAUAUUGUUUGUAUACAAAAUCAAAAUCAUAACAAGUUUAAUUUGAGAAAUGCUUAAUCAAGGCAUGCGUAAAUAAUGGGAAGUAUAAAGGUAAAUAUAAUUUUGAAUGAUUUUUAGACAUAAUAAUUGUUUUUCAUUUAAAAUGAUAUAAUUUAUAAUAUAUUUAUAAAUUAAUAUCAUAUAUUGUUAAUAUUUACCCUUAUAACUUAAAAAGACGCCGACACAACCAGUAUUUAAGAAGUUUAAUGCAAGCAUGAUAUAUUGAGGAGAAUUAAGAUUUUAAACAUUAAGUACAAUUAAUUACUAUUACUUGGUUUACAUUGGUUUUGCAUAACAAGAUUAUAUAGAAGAACGGUUUUACGUGGCACAAACUUACAAGACAGUACAAUAUUUUCAGCAGAUUUACCAAAUUGUCUCACUGCAUAGCAAAUAACUUUACCUCAUAGCAUUUUUAUGUAAAUCCUUGCACUAAUUUAUAGUAAAAAAAUGAAUCUUCACGAAUUAAUGAUCUUAGUUAUCUUUAAAGCUUAAGUUUUUCUCUGUGAACUAUAAAGCUUUAGUAAAGCUUCUGCAAAUAUUGUCUCCGUAUGUUUGUUUCACUCAAAACUAUUUUCAUAUAAUUGAUAGGUGGUAUGACGUCCUCUUAAAUCCCAAUUACAAAUAAUACAAUAAUAACAAUACAUAUAACAAUCAGAUAAAAUGCUCUAAUUGCACUACUUGUGCUCUAUGAAUACUAUGUGUAAUAAAAUAUAACAAAGUGAACAAAUUAUACUUAGUACAUCACGUCUUAUUACCACAAAAACAUACAUGACAAUAUACAAACAUAAAUUACACAAAUAACACAAAAUAUAAAACAGUCAACAAAACCUUUUUCCCACUUGAAUUUUCAACAAAAUUUGAGAGACCACAAUGCAUUUAAUUCAUUAAAAUGAAGAAGAUAAAUUCCUUUUAAUAUUCUCAUAAAACAUAAAAUAUAUAGGUGACUAAUAUGUGGCUUCUUUAAAGUCUUAGCUUCCUCUGAAAUCAUUUUUUAUAUGAAUAUUUCAUUAGCAUUUUUUAAUCAUAAUUCUGCAGGACACCCACUGAUUUUUUGAAAACCUAGCACUUAUGUAUAAGUUUAAUUUGAAAUUUUUAAAAUUAAUAAUAUAGUAAUUAAGUAUAGAUAAGUGUUAAAACUGAUAUUUUUCAUAAGUGAUAAAUCAAGUAUCAAACAAUAAUUAAUAAGAAUAAAAGCCUUUUAUUGCUACCAGUUUGGUUUUUAGCACUGUUGUAGAUAACUGUGGUCUUAGUAUGCAAUACACUAUCCUAAAUUUGAUAUGUAGAAAAAAAUAGAUUAUAUUUUAAAACAAUUUACUAUUCGAUUCAAUGGUAAAUAUAUCUUACUCCCAUUCACUUGCAGUUGUGUACAACUGUAAAAUGUUGACCUCUAAACAUAACAUUACACAUAUUUGUACACACAUUGAUACUCAUUACUCAGUUAAGAAUCUCAACAUAACAUAUUAACUUGCAUACACACGAAAGUCCUAUUUUAAUAACAUUUUUACAAUGCAAAUCAUAAAAGUGGUUUUUUU